rnacentral:rRNA from 1 species
UACAGAGGUCCCGAGCGUUGUUCGGAUUCACUGGGCGUAAAGGGUGCGUAGGUGGUGAGGUAAGUCGGAUGUGAAAGCUCCGAGCUCAACUCGGAAAUGGCAUUGGAAACUACCUUGCUAGAGGGUUUGAGGGGGGAUUGGAAUACUUGGUGUAGCAGUGAAAUGCGUAGAUAUCAAGUGGAACACCAGUGGCGAAGGCGAAUCCCUGGAAAAUACCUGACACUGAGGCACGAAAGCUAGGGGAGCAAACAGG